AGCGAACGCUGGCGGCAGGCCUAACACAUGCAAGUCGAACGAGGUCUUCGGACCUAGUGGCGGACGGGUGAGUAACACGUGGGAACGUGCCCUUUGGUACGGAAUAACUCAGGGAAACUUGAGCUAAUACCGUAUGUGCCCUUCGGGGGAAAGAUUUAUCGCCAUUGGAGCGGCCCGCGUCUGAUUAGCUAGUUGGUGAGGUAACGGCUCACCAAGGCGACGAUCAGUAGCUGGUCUGAGAGGAUGACCAGCCACAUUGGGACUGAGACACGGCCCAAACUCCUACGGGAGGCAGCAGUGGGGAAUCUUGCGCAAUGGGCGAAAGCCUGACGCAGCCAUGCCGCGUGGAUGAUGAAGGUCUUAGGAUUGUAAAAUCCUUUCACCGGUGAAGAUAAUGACUGUAGCCGGAGAAGAAGCCCCGGCUAACUUCGUGCCAGCCGCCGCCGUAA
rnacentral:rRNA from 1 species